rfam:Triticum aestivum genome assembly, contig: Triticum_aestivum_CS42_TGACv1_scaffold_393496_5AS
GAAAUACUCCCUCCGUCUGAAAAAGUUUGUCCCUCAAAUGAAUGUAUCUAGCACUAAGUUAGUGCGAGAUACAUCCAUUUGAGAAACAAGAUUGGGACAAGCUUUUCCGGACAGAGGGAGUAUAAG